rnacentral:rRNA from 1 species
UACGUAGGGUGCAAGCGUUGUCCGGAAUUAUUGGGCGUAAAGAGCUCGUAGGUGGCGGGUCACGUCGGGUGUGAAAGCCCGGGGCUCAACCCCGGGUCUGCAUUCGAUACGGGUCUGCUAGGGUCCGGCAGGGGAGACUGGGAAUUCCUGGUGUAGCGGUGGAAAUGACGCAGAUAUCAGGAGGAACACCGGUGGCGAAGGCGGGUCUCUGGGCCGGUACCGACGCUGGAGGAGCGAAAGCGUGGGGAGCGAACAGG